UGCGUAGGCGGCCUGACAAGUCAGAAGUGAAAGGCUACGGCUCAACCGUGGUAAGCUUUUGAAACUGUCAGGCUUGAGUGCAGGAGAGGAGAGCGGAAUUCCUGGUGUAGCGGUGAAAUGCGUAGAUAUCGGGAGGAACACCAGCGGCGAAGGCGGCUUUCUGGCCUGCAACUGACCCUGAGGGACGAAAGCCAGGGGAGCGAACG
rnacentral:rRNA from 1 species